GUAGUGGUGCCUGCACGUGUAGGAACGGAGGGAUGGUGCGGGGUGGGGGGGGCAGCUGCAUAAGACUCGCAUUCACUUGUUGCAUUCGAAGGGCAAAAUAUUUCAGCAGAAGCCCAGCGAAGUCAGCAGGAGUUUGGGAGGAGUAAAUCAAACACCAGGCUUAGCCUGACAACGUGCGUACUGAGCCCGCAUCUCCCAGCUGGCAGUCGCAGGGCCUGAUCCACAGCCUGGAGGUGUAAAACGGCCCCCCCGGGGGCCUCGGCUCCCCUUCCAUCCCACCCCCAUUGCCCCCGAAGGAGCCCCUCCCAUCGGGUGCUGCACUUUAGGGGGUGCAGCAGUGGGUGCCCCGUGCUCUGGGGGGGGGGCUCGCCCCGAAUGAGCCUUUAAAUGGACUUUUUGGGGCUGGAGGAGGGCUGGUCCUGAGGAGGACAUGGGGGGCUCUUGCCCUGCCCCUGUCCUUUCUCCUUGGGCACGCAGCGGGUGCCCCCAGCCCCACUUGGGGGAUGCAGAGCCCCCACCCGUGCCGGGGGGCUGCCGCCUCCUGGGGGGCCGGGGCAGAGCAGCGGCAGCACGGGGGGGGCACAGAGCCGGGUAGGGGCGUCCCCGAGCUCGGGGAGGGGGCCACGGACAUGCAGGGAGGGGGCAGAGCAUCCCGGCAGCGGGCUGCCUCCUCCAGCACCGACGGCUCCCCACCUCCAGCCCAACUUUCUACACCGGGGGCGGCCCCAGGUUGUGUCCCCCCCCCCUCCCUCCACCACCCUCGGGCUGUGCCACCCUCCCCCGUCGCUGCUCCAUCCCACCCCCUCUCUCUUUCGGCUCCCCCCUUCGCCUCCCCCCCCCCGGCCGGGAGCCCCGUCCCUCCUCCCCGGGGGGGCGGCCCCGCUCCCCGCCCGCCGCCGGAGGGAAGCGGCGGAGCCCGGGGGGGCGCUCCCGGCUCGGGGGGCGACCCGGGAGGCUGCAGCCGGAGCACCGGGGCUGCUCAUGCCUCCAGCUGCCGGAGAGCAGUCCCUGGAGCCGCAGGAACAAGAUGCCUGUGAAGUUUAAUGUCUCUUAGCCCUAGAAGA
ensembl:lncRNA